rnacentral:rRNA from 1 species
CCUAACACAUGCAAGUCGAGCGGUAACACAGAGAGCUUGCUCUCGGGUGACGAGCGGCGGACGGGUGAGUAAUGUCUGGGAAACUGCCUGAUGGAGGGGGAUAACUACUGGAAACGGUAGCUAAUACCGCAUAACGUCGCAAGACCAAAGUGGGGGACCUUCGGGCCUCAUGCCAUCAGAUGUGCCCAGAUGGGAUUAGCUAGUAGGUGGGGUAAUGGCUCACCUAGGCGACGAUCCCUAGCUGGUCUGAGAGGAUGACCAGCCACACUGGAACUGAGACACGGUCCAGACUCCUACGGGAGGCAGCAGUGGGGAAUAUUGCACAAUGGGCGCAAGCCUGAUGCAGCCAUGCCGCGUGUAUGAAGAAGGCCUUCGGGUUGUAAAGUACUUUCAGCGAGGAGGAAGGCGUUAAGGUUAAUAACCUUGGCGAUUGACGUUACUCGCAGAAGAAGCACCGGCUAACUCCGUGCCAGCAGCCGCGGUAAUACGGAGGGUGCAAGCGUUAAUCGGAAUUACUGGGCGUAAAGCGCACGCAGGCGGUCUGUCAAGUCGGAUGUGAAAUCCCCGGGCUCAACCUGGGAACUGCAUUCGAAACUGGCAGGCUAGAGUCUUGUAGAGGGGGGUAGAAUUCCAGGUGUAGCGGUGAAAUGCGUAGAGAUCUGGAGGAAUACCGGUGGCGAAGGCGGCCCCCUGGACAAAGACUGACGCUCAGGUGCGAAAGCGUGGGGAGCAAACAGGAUUAGAUACCCUGGUAGUCCACGCCGUAAACGAUGUCGACUUGGAGGUUGUGCCCUUGAGGCGUGGCUUCCGGAGCUAACGCGUUAAGUCGACCGCCUGGGGAGUACGGCCGCAAGGUUAAAACUCAAAUGAAUUGACGGGGGCCCGCACAAGCGGUGGAGCAUGUGGUUUAAUUCGAUGCAACGCGAAGAACCUUACCUACUCUUGACAUCCAGAGAACUUAGCAGAGAUGCUUUGGUGCCUUCGGGAACUCUGAGACAGGUGCUGCAUGGCUGUCGUCAGCUCGUGUUGUGAAAUGUUGGGUUAAGUCCCGCAACGAGCGCAACCCUUAUCCUUUGUUGCCAGCGGUCCGGCCGGGAACUCAAAGGAGACUGCCAGUGAUAAACUGGAGGAAGGUGGGGAUGACGUCAAGUCAUCAUGGCCCUUACGAGUAGGGCUACACACGUGCUACAAUGGCAUAUACAAAGAGAAGCGACCUCGCGAGAGCAAGCGGACCUCAUAAAGUAUGUCGUAGUCCGGAUUGGAGUCUGCAACUCGACUCCAUGAAGUCGGAAUCGCUAGUAAUCGUAGAUCAGAAUGCUACGGUGAAUACGUUCCCGGGCCUUGUACACACCGCCCGUCACACCAUGGGAGUGGGUUGCAAAAGAAGUAGGUAGCUUAACCUUCGGGAGGGCGCUUACCACUUUGUGAUUCAUGACUGGGGUG